UACGGAGGUCUCAAGCGUUGUUCGGAUUCAUUGGGCGUAAAGGGCGCGUAGGCGGCGGGGUAAGUCUGGUGUGAAAUCUAGGAGCUCAACUCCUAAACUGCACUGGAUACUGCUCUGCUAGAGGACUGGAGAGGAGACUGGAAUUCACGGUGUAGCAGUGAAAUGCGUAGAUAUCGUGAGGAAGACCAGUGGCGAAGGCGGGUCUCUGGACAGUUCCUGACACUGAGACACGAAGGCCAGGGGAGCAAACGGG
rnacentral:rRNA from 1 species